AGGGCUCGGCAGGGUCGUCUGCCCGCGCCCCAGUCCCUGGGGGUUUUCAGCCGCCACUUUACCAGCCAGAGAGGAAUAACAUACAGGACCACGAACCACAAGAUUACUUGCUGGUAUUUCCUGUUUUAAGCUGCAGAAAUCGAGGCAUGAUGUAAGCUGAUGGUUUACUCUGCACCGCAGCAGCAUUGCUGCUGGAUGAGGUGUCUGCGCGGAGUGGGCAGCAGCGCCCAGCUGGCGGGACGUAACUGCACAAACUCCUCUGGCUUGGCCACCGCGACCACCGCUUCGGCUGCACGUGGCUGCUGGGCUGCAUCCUAAGAACUUAAAGAAGAAACGUUUCCCCCAUUUGAAAUCACAGCAUCAACAAAAACUGUCAUUACCCCUAUAGAGUUUAAAUGCAAGAUAAACAACACUGAGAGAUGCAACUCUGUUCUGGGAAUGGAUGCAGGAUGAUAACCCUGUGCCUGGCUAAAAUGAGCGUUAUCUGAGAGGGUGCUAGGCACGUUUCUUCUGCCUUCAGUGAAGGAAGUUUGGAAUUCAGGAACUGAAGAUUUUGAAGAGGCUCUGCUGGUGGAUGGGCACUCUCUGGAUGAGACUCCGGCUAUCAAGGUGUCUUGGAAAAUGAAUCGGUUCAGUCUGGGAGCAUGGGAUCUUCCUGUGCUCAGAUCUGGUGUAUUACUGGAAAUCUGAUAUCAGUAAAAUCUGUUCUGGCUUCAGGUAGAUUUAACAGGCAAAGAAAUAUGAUCCAAAGAGUGAAGUUUCCUAGACUUAUGCCUGUAGUCUGUAUCAGUCAAGUUCUAUCCAUUUUUUUAAAAAGAGAAAAUAUUCACCCUUUGAGGAAGAAGAAAAGACUAACUCCCAAAACCUAAAUAUCAGAAAAAUACAUUUGGGCUGAAGAAGGAGGGCUAGCGUUACCAGCCUGGAGAUGUGUUACCGGCCAGGUGUACUCUAGGGUGAGCUUGCAGUCAUCUGUGUGAAGAGGCUGGAAAGUUAGCCAGGUAUGUUUUGUUGCUUUUUUUGGUCUGCUUUUUUUAAAUAAGAAACAAGGAUCCUUUGGAAUGGCUUAAAUAUUCAUUAUUUACCAACGAACCAAGUGUU